rnacentral:rRNA from 1 species
UACGUAGGGGGCAAGCGUUGUUCGGAAUUACUGGGCGUAAAGGGCGCGUAGGCGGCACAGCAAGUCGGGAGUGAAAGCCCGGGGCUCAACCCCGGAACGGCUUUCGAAACUGCUGAGCUAGAGUGCGGAAGGGGCAACUGGAAUUCCCAGUGUAGCGGUGAAAUGCGUAGAUAUUGGGAAGAACACCUGAGGCGAAGGCGGGUUGCUGGGCCGACACUGACGCUGAGGCGCGAAAGCCAGGGGAGCAAACGGG